UACGUAGGGGGCAAGCGUUGUCCGGAUUCAUUGGGCGUAAAGAGCGUGUAGGCGGCCAGGUAGGUCCGUUGUGAAAACUCGAGGCUCAACUUCGAGCUGUCGGUGGAAACUAUUUGGCUAGAGUCCGGAAGAGGAGAGUGGAAUUCCUGGUGUAGCGGUGAAAUGCGCAGAUAUCAGGAAGAACACCCGUGGCGAAGGCGGCUCUCUGGUACGGAACUGACGCUGAGACGCGAAAGCGUGGGGAGCGAACAGG
rnacentral:rRNA from 1 species